rnacentral:rRNA from 1 species
UGGGGAAUAUUGCACAAUGGGGGAAACCCUGAUGCAGCGACGCCGCGUGAGUGAAGAAGUAUUUCGGUAUGUAAAGCUCUAUCAGCAGGGAAGAAAAUGACGGUACCUGACUAAGAAGCACCGGCUAAAUACGUGCCAGCAGCCGCGGUAAUACGUAUGGUGCAAGCGUUAUCCGGAUUUACUGGGUGUAAAGGGAGCGUAGACGGAUAGGCAAGUCUGGAGUGAAAACCCGGGGCUCAACCCCGGGACUGCUUUGGAAACUGUUUAUCUAGAGUGCUGGAGAGGUAAGUGGAAUUCCUAGUGUAGCGGUGAAAUGCGUAGAUAUUAGGAGGAACACCAGUGGCGAAGGCGGCUUACUGGACAGUAACUGACGUUGAGGCUCGAAAGCGUGGGGAGCAAACAGG